AGGACUAACGCUGGCGGCGUGCCUAACACAUGCAAGUCGAACGAGGGGUAGCAAUACCCCUAGUGGCAGACGGGUGAGUAACACGUAGUCAACCUACCUCUUAAUGGGGGAUAACUAGCCGAAAGGUUAGCUAAUACCGCAUACGAUCGUCGAGUGGCAUCACACGACGAUGAAAGGAGCAAUCCGUUGAGAGAGGGGACUGCGUCCCAUUAGUUAGUUGGUGGGGUAAUGGCCUACCAAGACUCCGAUGGGUAGCUGGCUUGAGAGAGCGACCAGCCACACUGGAACUGAGACACGGUCCAGACUCCUACGGGAGGCAGCAGUGAGGAAUUUUCCGCAAUGGGGGAAACCCUGACGGAGCGACGCCGCGUGUGGGAAGAAGGCCUUCGGGUCGUAACCACUGUCGAGGGGACGAUAUUGACGGUACCCCUGGAGGAAGCCCGGCUAACUACGCGCCAGCAGCCGC
rnacentral:rRNA from 1 species